rnacentral:rRNA from 1 species
GCAGCCGCCACGGUAAUACGAAGGGGGCUAGCGUUGUUCGGAUUUACUGGGCGUAAAGCGCACGUAGGCGGACUUUUAAGUCAGGGGUGAAAUCCCGGGGCUCAACCCCGGAACUGCCUUUGAUACUGGAAGUCUUGAGUAUGGUAGAGGUGAGUGGAAUUCCGAGUGUAGAGGUGAAAUUCGUAGAUAUUCGGAGGAACACCAGUGGCGAAGGCGGCUCACUGGACCAUUACUGACGCUGAGGUGCGAAAGCGUGGGGAGCAAACAGGAUUAGAUACCCCUGUAGUCCCUGUCUCUUAUAC